rnacentral:rRNA from 1 species
AACCGAGUCUUAAUUGGGCGUUAAGUUGCAGGGUAUAGACCCGAAACCCGGUGAUCUAGCCAUGGGCAGGUUGAAGGUUGGGUAACACUAACUGGAGGACCGAACCGACUAAUGUUGAAAAAUUAGCGGAUGACCUGUGGCUGGGGGUGAAAGGCCAAUCAAACCGGGAGAUAGCUGGUUCUCCCCGAAAGCUAUUUAGGUAGCGCCUCGUGAAUUCAUCUCCGGGGGUAGAGCACUGUUUCGGCUAGGGGGCCAUCCCGGCUUACCAACCCGAUGCAAACUGCGAAUACCGGAGAAUGUUAUCACGGGAGACACACGGCGGGUGCUAACGUCCGUCGUGAAGAGGGAAACAACCCAGACCGCCAGCUAAGGUCCCAAAGUCAUGGUUAAGUGGGAAACGAUGUGGGAAGGCCCAGACAGCCAGGAUGUUGGCUUAGAAGCAGCCAUCAUUUAAAGAAAGCGUAAUAGCUCACUGGUCGAGUCGGCCUGCGCGGAAGAUGUAACGGGGCUAAACCAUGCACCGAAGCUGCGGCAGC